AGCUUUAGGAAUAGAUCUAAGGUUAUACCUGCCCAAUGUGCAAUUCUAUUAAUGGCCGCGGUACCUUGACCGUGCUAAGGUAGCGCAAUCAGUUGGCUCUUAAUUGGGGUCAGGAAUGAAUGGAGUUACGGAGUUUUACUGUCUCUUAGUUAAUUAUUCUAAAUUACUAUCUAGGUGAAAAAGCCUAAUAAUAGAAAGGGGACGAGAAGACCCUUAGAGUUUGACCUAUAUAAAUUUUAGAAAUUGUGUUUAUAAUGGUUUAGUUGGGGCAACGUAGGAGCAAUAAGGAAAGAGUAAAAUCUCCUAAAUUUUAUUAACCGAUAUUUUUAAAUUUGAAUAAACUACCUUAGGGAUAACAGCAUAAUUUAAUAAAUAAGUUUGUGACCUCGAUGUUGGACUAGGAAACUUAAAGGCUAGCCGUCUUUAAGGAAAGUUCUGUUCGAACUAUUAUUCCU
rnacentral:rRNA from 1 species